GAUGAACGCUAGCGGCAGGCUUAACACAUGCAAGUCGAGGGGUAGUUUACUUCGGUAAAUGAGACCGGCGCACGGGUGCGUAACGCGUAUACAAUCUACCUUUUACAGAGGGAUAGCCCAGAGAAAUUUGGAUUAAUACCUCAUAGUAUUUUUGAAUCGCAUGAUUUGAUUAUUAAAGUUCCAACGGUAAAAGAUGAGCAUGCGUCCCCAUUAGCUAGUUGGUAAGGUAACGGCUUACCAAGGCAACGAUGGGUAGGGGUCCUGAGAGGGAGAUCCCCCACACUGGUACUGAGACACGGACCAGACUCCUACGGGAGGCAGCAGUGAGGAAUAUUGGACAAUGGGCGCAAGCCUGAUCCAGCCAUGCCGCGUGCAGGAUGACGGUCCUAUGGAUUGUAAACUGCUUUUGCACAGGAAGAAACACUACUUCGUGAAGUAGCUUGACCGUACUGUGAGAAUAAGGAUCGGCCAACUCCGUGCCAGCAGCCGCGGUAAUACGGAGGAUCCAAGCGUUAUCCGGAAUCAUUGGGUUUAAAGGGUCCGUAGGCGGUUUAGUAAGUCAGUGGUGAAAGCCCAUCGCUCAACGGUGGAACGGCCAUUGAUACUGCUAAACUUGAAUUAUUAGGAAGUAACUAGAAUAUGUAGUGUAGCGGUGAAAUGCUUAGAGAUUACAUGGAAUACCAAUUGCGAAGGCAGGUUACUACUAAUGGAUUGACGCUGAUGGACGAAAGCGUGGGUAGCGAACAGGAUUAGAUACCCUGGUAGUCCACGCCGUAAACGAUGGAUACUAGCUGUUGGAAGCAAUUUCAGUGGCUAAGCGAAAGUGAUAAGUAUCCCACCUGGGGAGUACGUUCGCAAGAAUG
rnacentral:rRNA from 1 species